rnacentral:rRNA from 1 species
GAUCAUGGCUCAGGAUGAACGCUAGCUACAGGCUUAACACAUGCAAGUCGAGGGGCAGCAUUGGAGUAGCAAUACUCAGAUGGCGACCGGCGCACGGGUGAGUAACACGUAUCCAACCUGCCGCUUACUCGGGGAUAGCCUUUCGAAAGAAAGAUUAAUACCCGAUGGUAUAAAGAGUUCGCAUGUUCUCUUUAUUAAAGAAUUUCGGUAAGCGAUGGGGAUGCGUUCCAUUAGAUUGUUGGCGGGGUAACGGCCCACCAAGUCUACGAUGGAUAGGGGUUCUGAGAGGAAGGUCCCCCACAUUGGAACUGAGACACGGUCCAAACUCCUACGGGAGGCAGCAGUGAGGAAUAUUGGUCAAUGGACGCGAGUCUGAACCAGCCAAAAGUAGCGUGAAGGAUGACUGCCCUAUGGGUUGUAAACUUCUUUUAUAAGGGAAUAAAGUGAGGGACGUGUCCCUUUUUGUAUGUACCUUAUGAAUAAGGAUCGGCUAACUCCGUGCCAGCCGCCGC